rnacentral:rRNA from 1 species
UACGUAGGGUGCGAGCGUUAAUCGGAAUUACUGGGCGCAAAGCGUGCGCAGGCGGUCUGUUAAGACAGAUGUGAAAUCCCCGGGCUUAACCUGGGAACUGCAUUUGUGACUGGCAGGCUAGAGUAUGGCAGAGGGGGGUAGAAUUCCACGUGUAGCAGUGAAAUGCGUAGAGAUGUGGAGGAAUACCGAUGGCGAAGGCAGCCCCCUGGGCCAAUACUGACGCUCAUGCACGAAAGCGUGGGGAGCAAACAGG